rnacentral:rRNA from 1 species
CCUACGGGUGGCAGCAGUGGGGAAUAUUGGACAAUGGGGGCAACCCUGAUCCAGCCAUGCCGCGUGUGUGAAGAAGGCCCUCGGGUUGUAAAGCACUUUCAGUGAGGAAGAACGCCUGGUGGUUAAUACCCAUCAGGAAAGACAUCACUCACAGAAGAAGCACCGGCUAACUCCGUGCCAGCAGCCGCGGUAAUACGGAGGGUGCGAGCGUUAAUCGGAAUUACUGGGCGUAAAGCGCGCGUAGGUGGCUUGAUAAGCCGGUUGUGAAAGCCCCGGGCUCAACCUGGGAACGGCAUCCGGAACUGUCAAGCUAGAGUGCAGGAGAGGAAGGUAGAAUUCCCGGUGUAGCGGUGAAAUGCGUAGAGAUCGGGAGGAAUACCAGUGGCGAAGGCGGCCUUCUGUACUGACACUGACACUGAGGUGCGAAAGCGUGGGUAGCAAACAGGAUUAGAUACCCCAGUAGUC